CUACGUGCCAGCAGCCGCGGUAAUACGGAGGGUGCGAGCGUUAAUCGGAAUAACUGGGCGUAAAGGGCACGCAGGCGGACUUUUAAGUGAGGUGUGAAAGCCCCGGGCUUAACCUGGGAAUUGCAUUUCAGACUGGGAGUCUAGAGUACUUUAGGGAGGGGUAGAAUUCCACGUGUAGCGGUGAAAUGCGUAGAGAUGUGGAGGAAUACCGAAGGCGAAGGCAGCCCCUUGGGAAUGUACUGACGCUCAUGUGCGAAAGCGUGGGGAGCAAACAGGAUUAGAUACCCUGGUAGUCCACGCUGUAAACGAUGUCGAUUUGGGGGUUGAACUUUGAGUUUGGCGCCCGUAGCUAACGUGAUAAAUCGACCGCCUGGGGAGUACGGCCGCAAGGUUAAAACUCAAAUGAAUUGACGGGGGCCCGCACAAGCGGUGGAGCAUGUGGUUUAAUUCGAUGCAACGCGAAGAACCUUACCUACUCUUGACAUCCAGA
rnacentral:rRNA from 1 species